rnacentral:rRNA from 1 species
UAGAGUUUGAUCCUGGCUCAGAACGAACGCUGGCGGCAGGCUUAACACAUGCAAGUCGAGCGCCCCGCAAGGGGAGCGGCAGACGGGUGAGUAACGCGUGGGAAUCUACCCUUUUCUACGGAAUAACGCAGGGAAACUUGUGCUAAUACCGUAUGAGCCCUUCGGGGGAAAGAUUUAUCGGGAAAGGAUGAGCCCGCGUUGGAUUAGCUAGUUGGUGGGGUAAAGGCCUACCAAGGCGACGAUCCAUAGCUGGUCUGAGAGGAUGAUCAGCCACAUUGGGACUGAGACACGGCCCAAACUCCUACGGGAGGCAGCAGUGGGGAAUAUUGGACAAUGGGCGCAAGCCUGAUCCAGCCAUGCCGCGUGAGUGAUGAAGGCCCUAGGGUUGUAAAGCUCUUUCACCGGUGAAGAUAAUGACGGUAACCGGAGAAGAAGCCCCGGCUAACUUCGUGCCAGCAGCCGCGGUAAUACGAAGGGGGCUAGCGUUGUUCGGAAUUACUGGGCGUAAAGCGCACGUAGGCGGAUUGUUAAGUGAGGGGUGAAAUCCCAGGGCUCAACCCUGGAACUGCCUUUCAUACUGGCAAUCUAGAGUCCAGAAGAGGUGAGUGGAAUUCCGAGUGUAGAGGUGAAAUUCGUAGAUAUUCGGAGGAACACCAGUGGCGAAGGCGGCUCACUGGUCCUAUAACUGACGCUG